CACCCCUGGCAAUGGGCAGAGAGGCACCUUGUUGGUGGUGUUGUUCUCAUAUCAGCCAGGGGCAGAGCAGAGGGCGGUCCUUUGUUCAUCCUAGCUUGAUGCCUGGCUUGGUGGCCAAAGCUGUUUCAUGCCUAGGGCACAUAA
rnacentral:snoRNA from 1 species